AGGAAGCACCAGCCGGUGGUAGAAGGAAGCACGCGUUGUGAUACGUGCGAUUGGUUUUUUUUUCUGUGCGUGUCUAUUUUCAGGUGAAUGUGUACAGCAUUUAAACUAAGUUACACCUGGAUGUGGUGGCAAAGGAGGGUAAAAAGCAGCACCAAGAAGUGCGUGUCUGUGUGUUCAUUUAUGACGCCUUCAUGCGGUGCGUAUAAAUGGGCGCACAUUAUGCACAUCAAUUGCCCGUAUGCAAAGCGGCGAGAGGUGCGCUCUGCAGUGCUGACAGUGAGUGCAACGAAAGUGAUGCAGGCGACACGGUGCAUAAUCGAAAUUCCUUCGCUACGGUGGAGAGCUCGCUCAUAAUGCUCGCCUAAAACGACCCUAGCAGGCAGUACGCAGCGUUUGUUGCUUUGUCUCGCUCCCGGGGAACGUUUUUGCUCUCGCUCGCUCGCGAUUAGCGCGUCUAUAGUAGGCAAGGAUAACCAUGGUUGUGAUUGUUUGAUGUGCGCGCAUGAAUAUAAACGACAAUCGACAGUACAGCCACGGUGUGGCAACUGGCAAGUGAGAGAUGUGUUUCACCAUUUUAUUUUGUCCGUUCGGCCCCAACCCGCCCUUCCGCCCGACCGGGGGCCAAUCCACCGUGCCGUUUAUCAGCCAUCACUCCGCCGGGUCUGUGUAAGCCUCAUCUGUCAUUCGAUCGUUCAAUCUCCUCCCUCGGCAAACUCCAGGCAGCUCCGGUUCACUUCAUCCGCCUAACGAUGCUCCUUUAUCUCGGGGGUUUCAUCUUUCGCCUUUUCCUCGAUUACUUCCAUCAAUUUAAAUUUUAUGAAUAAUUUCUUUUCUUUUUGUUCUCGCGUCGUGCAAAAGAUGCUCCUCUGGCCCCUACUGCUCGUGUGCCCUGCCACAAACAUCCCUUUGCCUGCUGCUUUCUUUCAGGCCAACCGCCCUCUUCGCCGCCCCUCUGUCCCUCUCCUUCACAAGCUUCUUGUGCCGUUUUCGUGCAGGUUUCGUACAGUGAGCCCCUGCCAGUCGGCAAAACGGUUGGGGAUCGUGAACUAUUUUCUCUGCCAACGAUCAUGAUCAAGUUGGAAGCAUUUUGUUCGUGUUUUGUUUCGUACUUCCCUGCCAUGCUUUGUGCCGAUCGCUAUCGGGCGACUCUAAGCUGGGCCGCAUAAGCUGUUUGCUCUGAACGGUAGACUUUGUUCUCGGAUCAAAGAGCACAGUAUCCACACAGCAUAGAUCAUUGCUUUGUUUUAUUGCAUACGCUAAAUGCAUCAACAUAAUUUGUGUUUCAAUCAUUGGUAGUGGAUCCCGUUUCGAGGUACACUCGGCUCCAGCUGUGCGCCGCCUCGCAGCGGUCUUUCUGUCCCAUCCAUUGCCUGCCUGGAAGAUAGUUUGAAGCAGUUUGCGACAGAAAUCAUCACACAGAGGCACCAAAGCUUGCGUGAUUAGUGGGAGGGAAAGGUAGUUAGUGUUCGAGAUUGAUGGAACGAUCAAACCAUCAAAAUGUUUACGAAGCCACAAUGCACGUGCAACGAAAGGGACGGUCGUUUAUUAUAUGUUUUAUCCCAGUGUUUAACAAAAAAGGUUGGUUUGUUACGACCGAAACUGGCGACAAUGCGCUUUUCCCGUGCCCGUACCGUGCUUGGAACCAUGGAACGGUUUUCGCUCCUUCCAGUUCCAAAAGACCAGCUCCGAACGCCAUGGGAAAAGGGCAAAGUAACGUUGGCAAUGGAUUUUGUGUGUGUGAGAGAGCUUUGUGUUGAACAAAACGAGCCUUAGGAAAGGCCUUGCACAAAACACAUCUCACAUCAUGUGCUCCUCCGGCCUCGGUCCUCUUUGUGUCAGGCUGGACGAUGUGUGAUUUUCUCCGAAACAAAUGUCCUGCCACACAGAGAAGGCACAAAACACACUACGGACGCUACGGGACGGCACCAAACACCAUCACCUUUGCACAAUGCAGCGCGUGGGAUGUGCGUGGGAUCAAAACAGUGCAAAAAGUGCGAUUCUCGGUGCUCAAAAAUUAAGCAAUCUGGCCUUGCGUUCGUUCGACCUGGCAAAGCGAGCACCGUUCACAUACCUGACCGCUGAGCCCGGUGGGAAAUCGAUCAGGACAAUGACGCACUGGAAGAAUUACGUGUCAAUCUUUCCCGUCUGCCACAAUCGGCUUCAAUCUAGUCCCGGUGUGUAUCGGUAAGGUGCUGUGCCUGGGUCUGGACCUGGGCCUGUGCUGCCCGAAUGUUACACACUGCACAGCAAAAACGUAUGUGUGUUCUAGCUAGCAGUUUUAGUGUACUGAUGGAGGAUGUAGUCACGAACAUCAUACACUAAACAUGUCAUCCAGUAUCUAGCGUGACGUUGAGCUUGAGCUUUGGUGAUAUUUAAAAAAACGGUUUACAUUAGGUUUGUUAGCCUUCUCGUCCAAUAAAAACAAUUACAAAGCACAUCCGGUGGAAGGGAAGAGUACAAAAAAAAACAACAUCCCUCUGCUGCACAGCCCAUCGCAUACGACUGACCUACUGCACUGUAGUGCGCUGUGUGCUGGGCGAUUGGUUUCCCAUUCCGGUCUAUUCGUUCCCUUCUUUCCAAGGACUAGCCCAUCGCCGGUGUGGUCCCUCGGGCCUAGCCGCAGGUAUGUGUAUGGUUGCAUUUUAAAGGCAAAUAUUUACUGCCGAGCUCCUUUCUCCGGGACGGGUCUGGGCUGCACCACACGCUCCCGGCACUGUCCAUUUGCAAGGGGUCGCCACGGCCACGAUGUCGUUGUAAAUACUUCAACCUUUUCGAAAGGAUGCACUGGUGCCCUGCGUACCUGUCCAGCGCACUGCAGGACGGGAUCAGAUAAUUGCAACAUCAUUAUCGAUUGUCGACCAGAUCUCCCGUGUCCCCGCUUAUCCGACCGACCGGACGCCAUGUUGCAGGGCCGGCUGGUUUUGGGCAGUGGCAGUCCGUUUGACCGGGUGUUUAGGCGUUGGGUUUGCUGGAUUUUAUCCCAACAGCGAUACCGCUGUCGAACGAGCACGAAAACAUUUUUCGGAUCAAUUCCUACCGGUGCCCGAAUCAGCAUGCAGCCAGCAAUUCCAGCUAGUGUCUGUGCUGCACCGAAGCCAAUGUAUCACAACAACACUUUUGCUGCGAUUCCCACCUUCUCCCCAAAGCGUAUGCCUGCCUCUCAGCGUGAUUUUGGUGCGUGUGUUGUCUCGUUUUCAUACCACUCGUUCGCGCGCACACACACAAAAUCUCUAUUUAUGUUGCCAGUGUCUGUAAUGUUUUUGUUUGCUCGCCGGACUCCCUACCUCUUACUCCAGGUUUGUGUGGUGGAGCUGCUACUGCCCCCGCGCCGACCGCGGAUGGUGCGUGUUAGUAAAAUAUGUUUUCUCACUAUCCGUGUGUGCGCGCGCGCGAUAUUGGGCAACAAGCAUUAAAGCACCGGGUCGGAUCCCACCUCCGUACCACGCAGGAAGGACACCGCCGCCGUGGACAGCGUUUCGUUUCGCCCUUUGCCCGAUUCGGGGAACGACCAAAUUUGGAUGACGACGGUUCCGGGCGUUGCUGUUCGGGGAUGUAGAUAUUUCGUUGUUCGCUUUCGUUGAUUUCUUUCAACGGGUUCGGGUAUGGGCACGGAACCCGUCACGGAUCCGGCGCACGAUGAUGGAUGCGCUGCGGGGAUCGUGCGGUGGUGUGGUGGGGAAUAAAAUAAUAUUUAAUGGAAAAACGGCCGAAACGGUCCAGCAACAACACAGCAGCAGCAGCAGCAGCAGCAACAGAGAAGGCAGUGCAACCGUACCCCGUAUCGCAGCAUCCCUUUGCUCGCAAUACAACGGGAACAAGCGGCAACGGAAGAUAUAUGAAAUCGGGGAUGGAAAAUCAUAAAGAAAAGGAUUGUGCGAGUUUUAUUAUACAUGGAAGCAAAAUAUGUAAACAAAUCACAGCCGCAAUGGCAUCGGCAUGAAGAAGCCCGGGCGAGAUUGUGCAAGCAUACCAGGGUCGGAAAGGGAAAGGAACCAGCACGGUGUUUGGCGGAAGUGGGUGGAAACGGUUCCUCUUCUUCGCACUGUUGCCCGUCGUACCUCGCCGGAUGCUUCGGGAUAUGCGUUGAGGAGGAGAUAGAGAAAGAGAUGGAGACAGAGAGAGAAAGAGAGAGAGAGAGAGAGAGAGAGAGAGAGAGAGAGAGAGAGAGAGAGACCGAAAGAACGAAUGGGAGUGAGCGAGAAACUCCAUAAAAGGGGGCAAGAAAUGGAUUCUCGUGCCAGCGCGGGCACAGGAGGGACCCACUGCCAUAGCGUUGGGUUUAGCGUUGGGUUUAGCGGAAGGAGCGGAUUGAAAAACAUACGCGCGUUAAAUUACAAGAUUUACUGUCAAAAGCCGAAAAAAGAGCCAGCCUUAUUGCGCAGGUCAAUCGUCCUUGCUGCUGCGGAUUAUGGGGUUCCUCGUUGGUGGUAGGAUUCGUGAAGUUUUAUUAGCUAUGUUGUGAACCUUUUUUCGCAAUUAUUGUUUUCCUCUGAUCGAGAUGAUCGGAAACAGAGGGGAAACAAAUUAAAAAUUCGCGUAUACCUUGCGGUGGGAAAUAUGAUAAUAAUGCUGAAGGUCAUUGUGCGAACGAAUCGAACCGUUUUGACACACUUCGGUCCAUCGUUUUGCUCCAGCCCGUGUGAUUAUUUCCCUCCCGAGCCAUACAGAUGGGUGAUAUCAUAUUGAGUUGUUGAUACAAUGCGAGAAGCAAAUAAAUUGAAUAUUUUACCCACCCCGCAUCCAGCGACAUGUGCUAGGGGAGUUGAGAUAGGAUGGAAGGGUGCCAGAAAGUAAAAAAAAAGACGACGGCCCGUCCAUUUUAUACACCCUACUAGCAAUGAGAAUGUAAAAGUGUGCGUCUUUCAGGCGAGGGGCAUGUAGAAGCAGGGGGAGACGGUUGGAAAUACGCGGAAUUACGCGGCGGCGAGAGCGUGUUUUGCUUUCUACACAGUUUUUGCACUCACACAAUCACACAUGUGUGAAUGUGUGCGUUCACUUUCAGCCAGCGCACUCAGUUUGGUUUUCUCGCAGCGGCUUGCUGGUGUCGGUGUCUCGCUCGCACUAGUGCAGCGAGUGUUCCUCGUGCGUUCCCUUUCUUGCUACCACACAAAAUCGUCAGUACAGUUCAAGUCUUCGCAGCGUGAGGCAGCGCGCGUUUUAGCCUAAGUCCCGGGCGCUCGAUUAUUCAACAUACACAACAUACAGGCAGUAAGGCGGGUGCUUGAAGUGACGAUUUUUUUAAUUAUUUAUAAUAAAAAAUAUGUGUGGUUUUGUGACAAGAUUGUGGUUAGCGAUGUGUGGAACUGUGCCUUAAGUUUCAAUAAAGUGUUAAAAUAUCAAACGAG